rnacentral:rRNA from 1 species
UUGCCUGCGGCAGCUAUACAUGCAAGUCGAACGGUAGAUUACUUUCGGGUAAUUGAGAGUGGCGCACGGGUGCGUAACGCGUAUGCAACCUACCCUAUACAGGGGGAUAGCCCGGAGAAAUCUGGAUUAAUACCCCAUGGUACCAAGUUGAGGCAUUUUGAUUUGGUUAAAGAUUCAUCGGUAUAGGAUGGGCAUGCGUCUGAUUAGCUAGUUGGCGGUGUAACGGACCACCAAGGCGACGAUCAGUAGGGGUUCUGAGAGGAAGGUCCCCCACACUGGCACUGAGAUACGGGCCAGACUCCUACGGGAGGCAGCAGUAGGGAAUAUUGGGCAAUGGACGAGAGUCUGACCCAGCCAUGCCGCGUGCAGGAAGACGGCGUUCUGCGUUGUAAACUGCUUUUAUCUGGGAAGAAAAGGCCCAUGCGUGGGACAUUGCCGGUACCAGAUGAAUAAGCACCGGCUAACUCCGUGCCAGCAGCCGCGGUAAUACGGAGGGUGCAAGCGUUGUCCGGAUUUAUUGGGUUUAAAGGGUGCGUAGGCGGCUAUUUAAGUCAGUGGUGAAAGACUCCGGCUCAACCGGGGCAGUGCCAUUGAUACUGGAUAGCUUGAGUAUUGGAGGGGUACAUGGAAUUGAUGGUGUAGCGGUGAAAUGCAUAGAUACCAUCAGGAACACCGAUAGCGAAGGCAUUGUACUGGCCAAUAACUGACGCUGAUGCACGAAAGCAUGGGGAGCGAACAGGAUUAGAUAUCCUGGGUAGUC